GAUGCGGCGACCAUCAAUGGACAGAAAUUCCUAUUCUUGAGCCUUGAGUUCUCUCCUCUCCCAGCUUGCACUCAUGACUGGCCGGAGAGCAACUACCGCAUUCAUGGUUUCAUCAAAGUUUCCACCAUUCUGAUUCUUCUUCUGAAUAUUGUAGCGUUGCUGCACUAUUUCUGGCAUGUCUCUAUACUGCCAUUGG